AAUCGAACCCGGAGAUAGCUGGUUCUCCUCGAAAUAGCUUUAGGGCUAGCCUCGUUUUAGUCUUAUGGAGGUAGAGCACUGAAUUUCCGCGGGGGCGUCAAAGCUUACCAAAGAAUAUCAAACUCCGAAUGCCAUGUAGAUGAUGAACGGGAGUCAGACUGCACGAGAUAAGUUGGGCAGUCAAAAGGGAAAGAGCCCAGACCGCCAGCCAAGGUCCCAAAGUGUGUGUUAAGUGGAAAAGGAUGUGGGAUCUCCAAGACAACUAGGAUGUUGGCUCAGAAGCAGCCACACAUUCAAAGAGUGCGUAACAGCUCACUAGUCGAGAGGUCCUGCGCCGAAAAUGUCCGGGGCUGAAACACAACACCGAAGCUGCGGAAUUGCGAAUGCAAUUGGUAGAGGAGCAUUCUUAAUGCCGACGAAGCUGUACCGGAAGGAGCAGUGGAGGGAUAAGAAGAGAGAAUGCCGGAAUGAGUAGCGAGAGAGAGGUGGGAAUCCUCUCGGCCGAAUAUCCAAGGUUUCCAGAGUAAAGCUGAUCUGCUCUGGGUAAGUCGGGGCCUAAGGCGAGGUCAAAAGACGUAGCCGAUGGACAACAGGUUUAGAUUCCUGUACCGCAUAUAAACAGAACUGUGGGGACGCAUGGGGAGAGCAUGGGCCGGGAAUGGAAAUACCGGUGCAAGCGAAGGAGGUGUGCAGCCGGCAAAUCCGCUGCAUGAGCCGAAAGCGUGACGCGGAGCGAAAUGAAAGUAGCGAAGCAUGUGAGCCCUGUGCCGAGAAAAGCCGCUAUAGCUUUAUAUGUGCCCGUACCGUAAACCGACACAGGUGGAUGAGGAGAGAAUCCUAAGGCCGGCGGAAGAAGCAUUGUUAAGGAACUCGGCAAAAUGACCCCGUAACUUCGGGAGAAGGGGUGCCUGCGAGAGCAGGCCGCAGAGAAUAGGCUCAAGCAACUGUUUAGCAAAAACACAGGUCUAUGCGAAACCGAAAGGUGAGGUAUAUGGGCUGACGCCUGCCCGGUGCUGGAAGGUUAAGAGGAGAGGUUAGCGCAAGCGAAGCUUUGAAUUUAAGCCCCAGUAAACGGCGGCCGUAACUAUAACGGUCCUAAGGUAGCGAAAUUCCUUGUCGGGUAAGUUCCGACCCGCACGAAAGGCGUAAUGAUUUGAGCGCUGUCUCGACAAUGCAUCCGGUGAAAUUGAAGUACCAGUGAAGAUGCUGGUUACCUGCGCCAGGACGGAAAGACCCCAUGGAGCUUUACUCCAGCUUGAUACUGGGAUUCGGUAUUGCAUGUACAGGAUAGGUGGGAGGCUAGGAAAUGGUAACGCCAGUUGCCAUGGAGCCGCUGUUGGGAUACCACCCUUGCAGUAUUGGAUUUCUAACCAGCAGCCGUGACCCGGCUGGGGGACAAUGUCAGGUGGGGAGUUUGACUGGGGCGGUCGCCUCCGAAAGGGUAUCGGAGGCGCUCAAAGGUUCCCUCAGAAUGGUUGGAAACCAUUCGAAGAGUGCAAAGGCAGAAGGGAGCUUGACUGCGACACCGACGGGUGGAGCAGGUACGAAAGUAGGACUUAGUGAUCCGGUGGUAUAAAGUGGGAUUGCCAUCGCUCAACGGAUAAAAGCUACCCUGGGGAUAACAGGCUUAUCACUCCCAAGAGUUCACAUCGACGGAGUGGUUUGGCACCUCGAUGUCGGCUCAUCGCAUCCUGGGGCUGUAGCAGGUCCCAAGGGUUGGGCUGUUCGCCCAUUAAAGCGGUACGCGAGCUGGGUUCAGAACGUCGUGAGACAGUUCGGUCCCUAUCCGGCGUGGGCGUAGGAUAUCUGAGAGGAGCUGUCCUUAGUACGAGAGGACCGGGAUGGACGGGCCGCUGGUGCAUCGGUUAGACUGCCAAGUCUACGGCCGAGUAGCCAAGCCCGGAAGGGAUAAACGCUGAAGGCAUCUAAGCGUGAAGCCCCCCUUAAGAUGAGAUAUCCCAUUCGAAAGAAGUAAACCCCCUUGA
rnacentral:rRNA from 1 species